UACAUGGAGAUGCAAUUAACAAAUGAGGAGCCUGAAACAGCAGACACCGCUUUCGAUGAAUACAUGACAUAAUGGAUGCAACUAGACAUUUAUGAAAAUGGAGAAACACCUGUUGUUGGUUUUAACGGAAAAGAGGAUUCAAACCAGCAUGACUCAAGAGGACAGAAGAAAGAAGAGUUGAAAAAAGAGAAACCUGUAAUUGACAAACCGCAUCAAAACACCAGAAGCCCGACCACUGCUCUACCGUCCAUUCCUCUUACCGACAGAUACAUCACUAUCAGACGCCCUCCAAUGAAUGGUAACAGAGGAUUAAGGGUAUCUCAAUUAGUUUUCCUCAGGAUUACUACAGUGGGUCUUGUGUUGCUGAGUAUUAUGUUACUGGAGGGAUGUUUUACUAUAUGAACAACAACUAUAUCCUACAGAAUAACAUUGGGGAAAUCCAGGACUUGAAAAGGGAAAUAGGUGAGAGGCUAGAGAAUAACAUUGAGGAAAUCCAGGACUUGAAAAGGGAAAUAGGUGAGAGGCUAGAGAAUAACAUUGAGGAAAUCCAGGACUUGAAAAGGGAAAUAGUGAAUCUGAGAAGCAGCUCCAGCUCAAUGUUUCCCAGUGUGAUCUGUCCAUGGACAAUAACAAAUUGUUAAAGGAGCAAAGGGAUUCAAUCAAUUCUUUUAACAAGACCAUUGAAAAUGGAUUCUGACGAUUGCCGAUCUCCUGCAGCAGUAACUCUACUUUAGGGAACAUGACCAGGCGUUAAAGCCAAUCUGGAAACAAAUCUAUAAUGUAACUGGAAAAACACUUCAUAUAUCCUUAACCAUGUUAUCAUUUGUUAUCAUUAAUGUUUGUACAUUGUCAGUUAUGUUGUGCUAUACUGAGACAGGUGCAAUAUAUCUACCAUAUUGUCUUGUUUUUUUAAUACUAUAUAUAGACACACACAAAAUAGGAUUGGUUUACCUGCAAAAUUGUGACACAGAGCUUCUGCACCAUAUGAAAUGUUAAAAAACUCAUGUAACUUUAACUUAUAUCAUGGUUGAGAAACCCCUUCAUUACCAAACUGCAUUUGUCAAGUGUCUCCUAAAGGGGGCAUUGCAGUAACAUAACUCCAUCUAGUGUAUUGUGCAUGAUACUUGCUAGAAGUCACCACUAGCAUUUGGUUUAUGUCAUAAACCUAAACUUGAUGAAGCUCAUAUGAAUUUCCAAGCCAAAAUGAUCACUAAUACAACAUUGCAAAAACAGUACGGUUAUGCCAAUAUUUACACAUCAGCAGUAAGUGGUACAUGAAAUGUGUGUAAAGGUACUUGUGUUGUUUCACCUUGCUUUUUCUUUCCAUACUUUUUUACAUAUACUGUAAAAUACUCAGAAACAAGAGGACACAGGCAGUAUUCUAUAAAAAAAAACACACACACAAACACACCCUGACACUACUUAUUUCCAUUCAGCCAUGCAGGCAACAGGAAGGGGAAACGCUGCUUCCUGUGGAAGAAUGGGCGGAGGCAGUAAUGGUCACCCUAUUGUGUGUGUGUGUAUGUGUGUGUGUUUCAAGUGUAUUGUUAAUAUAUGUGUGAGUUUAAACUCCAGUACCACCUGUCUGUUCUACCACUGUUGUCUAUGGGGUAUUGUUCAUCUCAAACUACAGUGUGUUGACACUGAAGCUACCUCUGGGACCUGGUGUCACACCGCUUGUUGGCCAUGCUUCCUGACACCAGCGGGACUGUGAGUGGGGGGGGAUGUCAGGCCAUGGGCCCCUUUCCCCUUGGAUGCAAUGGUCUCACUAACAAUAGUUACAGUUUGACAUUAGGAGUGAAAUAUACAUGAUUUACAUGA